GUGCUCACUCAGCAGCACAUAUACUAACAUUGGAAUGAUACAGAGAAGAUUAGCAUGGUCCCUGCACAAGGACGACAUGCAAAUUCGUGAAACAUUCCAUAUAUUA
rnacentral:snRNA from 1 species